GACGAACACUGGCGGCGUGCUUAACACAUGCAAGUCGAACGGUAAGGCCCUUCGGGGUACACGAGUGGCGAACGGGUGAGUAACACGUGGGUGAUCUGCCCUGCACUUCGGGAUAAGCCUGGGAAACUGGGUCUAAUACCGGAUAGGACUCCGGACUGCAUGGUCUGGGGUGGAAAGCUUUUGCGGUGUGGGAUGGGCCCGCGGCCUAUCAGCUUGUUGGUGGGGUGAUGGCCUACCAAGGCGACGACGGGAAGCCGGCCUGAGAGGGUGACCGGCCACACUGGGACUGAGAUACGGCCCAGACUCCUACGGGAGGCAGCAGUGGGGAAUAUUGCACAAUGGGCGCAAGCCUGAUGCAGCGACGCCGCGUGAGGGAUGACGGCCUUCGGGUUGUAAACCUCUUUUAGCAGGGAAGAAGCGAAAGUGACGGUACCUGCAGAAAAAGCACCGGCUAACUACGUGCCAGCAGCCGCGGUAA
rnacentral:rRNA from 1 species